rnacentral:lncRNA from 1 species
GAUGGUUGAUCAACGAUUAAGAAUCGUUCUAGGGUUAAACGAUCAAUACGAUUGACAUUUAACCUAGUGCAAGUGUUGCAGGAGGAUCGAUUAGCAAUUUGAUUGCUAAUUGGCUUAAUUUGAUUAAGCCAAUGGACUGAGAUUAAGUCUAAUUGAAUAUAAUUUAAUUAGAUUUUAUUUGGACUUGAUUGGAUCAAGUCCAAUUGGUUUAUUGGAUAAGCCAAGUGCAAGGAAAAAACUAGUCCUAGU